UGUUGCGAACCUCUUCAUCCCUUUCCACAGCUUUCUUGAACUUUGGAGGGAACCGGCCGGAGUGGUGGUGGCAACACCGGCGGUGAUCAUAAGGAAGUUCAGGAAUGCUGUGGGAAUGCAUGGAGAGGUUGGAAGAUAUGGGUCUGCAUGAACGAUAGAAGGACCAAGAGUAUUCUGUUAUCAUGGUGGUUUUCCAUUAUGGGCUUUAUUUGUUCUCUUAUUCUCCUCUUUCAUUUCAAAUUAUAGUACUCCUGCUUCUAAUUAAGUUUUUGAUUUCGUUUAGUUAGGUAAAACAUAAUAAUGACCCUUGAAUUGGCCGCUCUGCCUUUUAGGGACUAGAGAUCCAUUUUGGUAUGUAGUUUUGUUCUUCCAAGGGUUCCAACGAAGCAGCUUUACGGCAGAAUAGUUCUUGUUUCAAAAGCAAUUUACUGAGGUGAGAACUAUCGUUUUUUUUUUUUUUUGAAGAAAAGAGAACUAACUAUUGAUCAUUUUUUUUCUUUACAAAAAACCUCGAAUCAUUACUUUUCUACAUGGGUGUAUAAAAAAGUACUGCAUAUAAAAUGAACAUUGACCGGACAUUAAUGCAUGCAACGGGUGGAUUGCCUGAUUUACUUAAGCUCACGUAGUUACAGAAGAACACUGUACAAAUAAUGGGAAACUUUACGUUUAAAAUAUGACGGGUAGGACAUAUUGCCGUUUGCUUAGAUCUGGCUCAUCAGUAUCUUCAUGAAAUGGCCAGCCAAUGAUGUCAAGUUACCGAUCUUGGACUCCAUGAUCCACCGCCCAAGACAUGAUGAUAAUGGCGUGAAAACUUUGGGAAUGAAGGCUAAUAUCCAUGUAUUUUUAGUGGGCCCUAUCAGCGUGGUAGCUUUUCGUAAGCCUAUGACGCAAUCCUCGGCGGGUGGCACAUCUCUUUCCGCGACGGCCUGAUAAAAUAUGGCGUUUAAUUGUUGGCAGGCACUGACACGUAGAGAUCUGCAGGGCGAUCCUUUAUGGCCCCCCACCGUGCAUGCCUUCCCUUACUCUACCCAGUUCUGUUUACUGUUGAUAGCAUGCAAUAUUUGUACAAAAUUUUUGUUUUAGUGAUCGAAGAUAAAUAUUGCUGUAGAUCCUUACCAUCUCUCGUCUCGAUUCAGCAUAAUCUGCUAGCUAUACUCUGAUAUAUGCUGAGUGAAGUAAUAUGUGCAGAGAUAUGGUAUAAGAGCAUGCAGAAUAGAGCCUCAGUGGAGAGCUGCUUGACUUUUGGUGAAGGAUGCUUGGUUACAUGGAUGGAUUUACAUUUACUCCAUCACAAAUGAAUUUUAUAAAUUAUUAAAUUGCCUGUCUUGCACCAUGUUCAUAAAUCUAUUUGAAAAUGCUAAAUUGAGGGGGUCAUUAGAUUCUCCUGCAGCAAAGAAUCCUCCGUUAAACAGCCAACAUUUUGUGGAUUUAAAAAUGAUGACAAAUGGAAGAAAAUGAAGUCAAUGCAAACUUGAUUUGUGCUUU